GAGCGAGGUAAGGAUCUGCAGCACAGCCACCGGCUGCUCCUUCCCGUGACCGAGCCAGCUUGCAUUUCGCAGACCCUUUGUCUCGGUGCGAGCGGUGACAGCACCAGGCUUCUUUCCCCGUUCAAAAUAGUCACAGAAGCUGUCCUGUAGUGCCUAAAUGGAGCCUUGCAUGCUUCUGGCCUAGAACCACAGAAAGAGUUCUGCUAAAUAUUUGCUAAUGAAGGAAAUCGAUGCGAUUUGGAAUGAGUUCUGGCUCAAACGAUCAAUACAGGCCCAGUGAUGUACAACAAGCAGGCAGACCGCGCCGCUGGUUGGGCGCACAAAGGAAAAGACACCCUUGUAAGAGAAUAUACUAUCAAUGCUUUUUGUCCAAGAGGAGCACAGUGCCAAGACUCUGAGCUGCUUGAUUGACUCUUGCAGGAGGACAUGCUGGGAUGUGCGCUCCAUGGUCAUCAGAGCUGCAUGUGCUUAGGGACAGCUUGGAUCUGGAAGAAGCGUAGGCUUGAC